rnacentral:rRNA from 1 species
CCAAUAGCGUAUAUUAAAGUUGUUGCGGUUAAAAAGCUCGUAGUUGGAUUUCUUCCAGGGGCAGUCGGUCCACACUACGUGUGCGUAUCUGAUUUGACUUUGGAAUCCUCUUGGGGAACAUCUCUGCGCUUAACUGCGUGGAAUGGUAUUCAAGACUUUUACUUUGAGGAAAUUAGAGUGUUCACGGCAGGCAAUCGCCCUGAAUACAUUAGCAUGGAAUAAUAAUAUAGGAUUUCGGUUCUAUUUUGUUGGUUUCUAGAGCUGAGAUAAUGAUUAAUAGGGACACUUGGGGGCAUUCGUAUUAUCACGUCAGAGGUGGAAUUCUUGGAUUGUGUUACGACGAACUACUGCGAAAGCAUUUGCCAAGGAUGUUUUCAUUGA